AACUUUUGGCAAUGGAUCUCUUGGUUCUGGCAUCGAUGAAGUACGCAGCGAAAUGCGAUAAGUAAUGUGAAUUGCAGAAUUCAGUGAAUCAUCGAAUCUUUGAACGCACAUUGCGCCCCUUGGUAUUCCGGGGGGCAAGCCUGUUCGAGCGUCAUUUCAACCCUCCAGCUUGCUGGGUCUUGGGCUCUGCCGGUCACCCGGCUUGCCUUAAAAUCAGUGGCGGUGCCAUCGAGCUCUACGCGUAGUAAUUUUUUCUCGCGUCUGGUCUUGAUGUGCGUCUUGCCAACAACCCCAAAUUUUUUAUGGUUGACCUCGGAUCAGGUAGGGAUACCCGCUGAACUUAAGCAUAUCAAUAAGCGGAGGCU
rnacentral:misc_RNA from 1 species